AGAUAAGACGACUGGAAAUGACAAUAUAUGUGAUGUUGCUGCUCUUCCUCUUCUCUUUUUACAAAUUAGUAUGAUUGUAUUGUAUAUUAUCUAUCUAUCUAUCUAUCUAUCUAUCUAUCUAUCUAUCUAUCUAUCUAUCUAUCUAUUUAUCUAUCUAUCUAUCUCAAUGUGACACAGUGUGAGAAAAAAGAAGUUCCCCAGCAUUGUCUGCUAGACCACUUCCUGUGAGCCACUGUGAAUUUAGUCAUUAAGCUCAGUAUAAAACCUUGUGUAGACACUUGGAUGAGGGUGUUGGUGAGAGUGUUACCACGUUUCAUCGCUUCACUUGUGUCUUUGAGUGCCUCACGCACAAUGCUGAAAGGCCUUGUUUUUCUAUUUAUUGUUUGGAACUCAUCGGCCUCCAGAAACCCCAAAACUCACCUUCUGUUCUCGCUGGGAUGUCAGGCUGAGAUUCCUUGUCCACAUUACCAAAGGGAUUCAAGCCAUUUCAAAUGGCUGCACGCGAAAGGUAAGGAAAGGAGCACGCUGUACUUUAAAGACGACAAAGGAAUAGAACAACAUCAGAGCUUCUUCCGCUCCAGAAUGAAGGUGCUAGAUAAUGGUUCCUUGAUCAUUGAUCGUUUCACUGAGGCGGAUGAGGGACUUUACUGGUGUGAAGUCUGUUUUCAGAACAAUUGGUGGAAUGAUUCGCUCACUGUCGUCACUGUGAACAAAGAAACUCUAAAUGAGACUAAUAAGACAGUCAACGUUAUUGCAGGAAUCAGUUUAACUGAGACAUGUCCCGGCGACUUUCUCAACUUAAGAUGGACAUUUGAAGCACCCGCAAACUCCGGCCGAGGCGCGGAACCAGACUUCGUGACUCACAACAAGUCAUUGCAAAUUGUAAAUGUCAAAAAAGCACAUGCUGGGAGAUAUAUCUGCUGGAGAAGUGGAUGUGACGGAAACAAACAGAAGCUUUUCACCGUCCACUUGUGUGUACUAACAGGUCACAACAGUGAGGCCUCGUCUUUUUCCUGUGCGGUGACGUGUGACGUGGAAGUCAAAGCCAACAGCACAAUGAACGUGGAGACAGGCAGAGGGACGAUAUCUGUGCCUGUAGAUCCAGAUGGGUCCUUGAACUGCACUGCAAAGCAGAUGUUUGAUGGACACCACACAUUCAACAGCACCGAAAGGCCAUCAGACGCUUUCAACAACUCAACAGAUUUCCCAACGGAGCUCGGAUAUCUGUUGCCGGUGACUUAUGGAGCGUCAGCAGGCCUCACAUCGCUUAUUUUAAUGUCAAUUUUCAUUUGCUACAGAAGAAAAUCACGAGCAGCGUUUCCUGUUGACUUUUGUUGCCGGGGCUCAGAUGCCAGGGAGGAAGAGGAGAUUUCAGUGGUCUAUUCAUCAACUGUCUUUAGGAGACCUGCAAAGAUCAAUCCUUUGACAGACAGUGGUUGUGUGUACAGUGAAAUACGAGUAGCCUAAAGAGAACCGGCCAGAAAUGAAACUGUUCAAUAAAUAAUACUGUGUAAAAGAUUUUGUGAUAUUUUUAUGUUUGUGUCUUUAGAUACUGUUGUUAUACAUUACAUUCAGUUUAAACUACUGUGCUAACAAAUGUAUGUUUGGGGUAUUGUGUUUUAUUAGAGAUAGUUUACUAUUUUACUCCACAGCAUUUAUUUUACAGCUACAGUUACUUUGCAGUAGGUGAAUAUCCCCCCAAUUAACCGUUUGCACACACAAGUGGAGAGUGGUUAACGCAGGUUUCCAUUGCGAUAUGUUAGUGCACGUUGAUGAAGACGAAUACACCGGUAGAAGAGGAGACCUGCAUAACUACACGGCUCCAGUAGGUGGCGGUGACGCGCCACGUCCAACAGCAGCGGGAAAAGCAACAGCCGAAGAAGAGUAAACUAGGUUUUCCCUCACUGUUGUCGGCGGUGUCCUGUCUCUGCUGUCCGCAAUAAUCCAAGCAGUUGGCGUUUUCCGUUUCUCGAAUCACCACGUAGUCCCCAUUAAUAUGCACGUGUCAUUCAAUUAAAGUACGGCAGCGAACGUUGAAAGGUUUGGCGCGGUACAUUGGACCUGCACGCUGUUGUAGCUAACAGAUGCUAUCUGCCUUAGCUAGCCGCUAGCUAGCUCGCUAGCUGGGUAUCUGCAAGCCGCACAGAAGGCGCGCUAUCCGACUUCUAGCCGGUGCUCCAGAUCAGGCGAAGAGCUGCAUUUGAUCAGUGUUCAGAUAACAACAACCCGGUGCUAAAGAAAACAUGGAAGCCCCCCAAGUUACAGUGAUGCCUGUCACCGGAGGAACCAUCAAUAUGAUGGAAUAUCUGCUGCAAGGCAGUGUGUUCGACCAGGCACUGGAAAGCCUCUUGCAUCGCCUUCGAGGUCUGUGUGACAACAUGGAACCGGAGACCUUCACCGAUCACGAACUGGUUUAUCUCCUGAAAGGCCAACAGGGGAACCCUUUCAUUCUGCGCGCGCGGCGGUCCCUCUCCCACCCCACAUCGCCAUGGCACCUACGCUACCUCGGCCAACCUGAGGUGGGAGACAAGAGCCGCCACGCCCUGGUGCGCAACUGCGUUGACGUGGCCGCCUCUCACAGCCUGCCGGAGUUCCUCAAUGAGAUGGGCUUCCGCAUGGACCACGAGUUUGUGGCUAACGGGCACAUAUUCCGCAAAGGCGCUAUGAAAAUAGUGGUCAGCAAGCUGUCGCGGAUCCUGGUACCAGGGAACACGGAGAACACGGAACGUCUAUCGCUUUCCUUCCUGGUGGAGCUGAGCGUGUUGGCGCCUGCCGGCCAGGACACGAUGUCAGAGGACAUGCGCAGCUUUGCCGAGCAGCUUAAACCUCUGGUCCACCUGGAGAAGAUUGACCCCAGCAAACAGAGGCAUUGAAUGACAUCAUUUAGAGGGUCG